UCUGGGCUCUUAAGGGAGCCGUGUAAUUAGAUUACACUCACCUGGAUAAUCCCUUUUUGCAUCAACUGUGUCAUAUAACAUAAUGUAGUCACAGGAAUGAUAUCCCAUUCACAGGUUCAGGGGGAUAAAGGGUAUGGAAUCUCUUGUGGGAGCAGGUAGGGCAUUUUGAGAAUCCUGCCUACCACAUUCUGGUUCUGCUGCUGGGAGUCAAGAGAGCAUUUAAGAACAAGUGAUCAGAUGAGAAUGACUCUCCUGGGGAUAUGUUUUCCCAGGCUUCGUUGGCAUUAAUUGCUAAGUAGGUUUAGGUAACAUUUGCAGUGGGUCUUAUGGUCCUUAACGUGUACAAUUUACCCUCAUGCCAUGGUUCUCACAGUGUGGGCGCAGGACCAGCCUCAUCAGCAUCAUCUGGGACCUUGUCAGAAAUGCAAAUUUGGGGUCGCGUCCCAAACCUACUCAAUUAGACGCUCUGGGUUUGUGGUCCUGAGAUGUGUGUCGUAACAGGUGAUUCUGAUGCUACUCAAUUGAGAACUAUUUUUCUAAAGAGCAGAAAUAGUUAAGGCCUGGAAGAGGGUCAGGAUGUGCCUCUGUGAGGAAGCGUGUCAGGAACUCUCCCGGUGGGAUGCGGAUGCUGGCCUGGUCCUCUUCAGCCCCAGGAAGAGGAGUUAGAGCUUGCCGAUAUGUGCGCUAUUCGAGAUGGAGAAACCAAGGCUCAGAAGCAUGAAUUCUUUGGCUCUGAGGUUUCACGGCCAUCAGGGGCAGAAACCAGUUUUAACAAGAGAGGUUGAUCAUCGCUGGUCCAACUCAUACCUUCUCCUCCUGGAAGCUACCCCACGCUACACGAAGACAAUAGCCCUGCUGGCCACCAGAAGACCUAGCCCUCCUCCUCUUGAGGUGGGCAUCUGAUGCAAGGGCAACCUUUCCACAGAUAGGGGGAAGGCUGGCCAACCAUCCUGGUUUGUGUUGGACUGGGGGGUUCCCAGAAGGCAGGACUUUCAGUGCUAAUUCCAGAAAAGUCCUGAGCCAACUAGGACAAGUUGUUCACUCAGGCAGGAAGGGACUUGUGACCUGUGAGCUCGGGUUCCAAACCACAGAAUAGGCAAUCAGGUUCUCAGAAACUGGGAAACUAAAAGACUGGGCCUGUCACCUGAAAUAGAAGGGCCAUGAUAUAGAAAAAGAGCAAGGAGAAUUGAAGAGCUGCCGUGUUGAUCACAUGGAAACAAAACUUACGAGCAGAAACUCUGAGCCAGUAGAGGACACUGACCGUAUUUUAGGAAAACUGACUUUCAGUAGCUUCUUCCUUAAAAACCACCGUGGCCAAUUGCAGAUCCUUGCGGAGACUCUUUCCAGAUGCUUCUGUUUGCUGCUGCUGCUUCUGCUUUCAUUGCCAAGGAAAGGGCUACAGCAGACUCUUCCGUAUUAAAGCAAGUUCCCUCCAAAUCAUGCUGCUUAUCUUCCGAAUUGAAACGAAAUGAGCAAAAUCCAGCACCCUUAGAAAUUUCAAGUUGGGAAACCCCAGAGUGACUCUUCCUGACUCCCACCUCACAUUUUUGGAGCUCAGGAAGCUCUUCAUCAGCCAAAGCUGAGGUAGCAGACUGUUUUUCCCAAAGAGAGCCGUGACAACAUUUCCCAUCUCUCAUCCUCUUCUUACAUUAUUUGACACCCUGUGGCUUAUUUGACACCCUGUGGCUACUGUGAAUGUUGGCUGCUGAUGGCUCACAGCUGAUCCCAGUCCAGAGACUUGCCCUUGGCCCAUGGGAGCCUUCUCUCCCAGAGGAAUAUGCCGACCCCCAAGGGAACACCCAGCCCAAGCCAAGGUGACACAGGGGUACAAAAGGCCAGCCUCACUGCGUCACAGAGGACCAAUCCAGUGGCAUGAUUCUUGCUUCACUACUUGGUGGGAUCAGGCUGUCUCUCGUCUCCAGCUGAGGCCACAUCCUUGCUGAGCGUCCCCCCCCACCUUGUACCCCUUUUUUCUUUCCUCGCUCCUUUCCCCGUGUAAGUACUUCCUUAACUAAGAAUCCCCCACUCAAGGGUAUUUCUGGAGAUGCCAACCCAGGACACGCUUCCGGGGAAAGUAACAAUUGUGCACUUUCGACUGAAAUCUAUGUGUGAUUUUUUUGUGAUUGGC